rnacentral:rRNA from 1 species
AGUGAACGCUGGCGGUAGGCCUAACACAUGCAAGUCGAACGGCAGCACAGUAAGAGCUUGCUCUUACGGGUGGCGAGUGGCGGACGGGUGAGGAAUACAUCGGAAUCUACUUUUUCGUGGGGGAUAACGUAGGGAAACUUACGCUAAUACCGCAUACGACCUACGGGUGAAAGCAGGGGAUCUUCGGACCUUGCGCGAUUGAAUGAGCCGAUGUCGGAUUAGCUAGUUGGCGGGGUAAAGGCCCACCAAGGCGACGAUCCGUAGCUGGUCUGAGAGGAUGAUCAGCCACACGGGAACUGAGACACGGUCCAGACUCCUACGGGAGGCAGCAGUGGGGAAUAUUGGACAAGGGGCGCAAGCCUGAUCCAGCCAUACCGCGUGGGUGAAGAAGGCCUUCGGGUUGUAAAGCCCUUUUGUUGGGAAAGAAAAGCAGCAGGUUAAUACCCCGCUGUUCUGACGGUACCCAAAGAAUAAGCACCGGCUAACUUCGU